GAUGAACGCUGGCGGCGUGCUUAACACAUGCAAGUCGAACGAAGCACUUUAUUUGAUUUCCUUCGGGACUGAUUAUUUUGUGACUGAGUGGCGGACGGGUGAGUAACGCGUGGGUAACCUGCCUUGUACAGGGGGAUAACAGUUGGAAACGGCUGCUAAUACCGCAUAAGCGCACAGCAUCGCAUGAUGCAGUGUGAAAAACUCCGGUGGUAUAAGAUGGACCCGCGUUGGAUUAGCUAGUUGGUGAGGUAACGGCCCACCAAGGCGACGAUCCAUGGCCGACCUGAGAGGGUGACCGGCCACAUUGGGACUGAGACACGGCCCAAACUCCUACGGGAGGCAGCAGUGGGGAAUAUUGCACAAUGGGCGAAAGCCUGAUGCAGCGACGCCGCGUGAGCGAAGAAGUAUUUCGGUAUGUAAAGCUCUAUCAGCAGGGAAGAUAAUGACGGUACCUGACUAAGAAGCACCGGCUAAAUACGUG
rnacentral:rRNA from 1 species